rnacentral:rRNA from 1 species
GUUACCAUCAUUAAGUUUGGGGACGUCUAGCGAGACUGCCAGUGAUAAACUGGAGGAAGGUGGGGGAUGACGUCAAAUCAUCAUGCCCCUUAUGACCUGGGCUACAAACGUGAUACAAUGGCUGGAACAAAGGGAUGCGAAGCAGUGAUGUGGAGCGAAACCCAUAAAAACAGUCUCAGUUCGGAUUGAAGUCCGCAACUCGACUUCAUGAAGUCGGAAUCGCUAGUAAUCGCGGAUCAGAACGCCGCGGUGAAUACGUUCUCGGGGUUU